rnacentral:rRNA from 1 species
UACGGAGGAUGCAAGCGUUAUCCGGAAUGAUUGGGCGUAAAGCGUCCGCAGGUGGCAAUGUAAGUCUGCUGUCAAAGCGUCUGGCUCAACCAGAUAAAGGCAGUGGAAACUACAUAGCUAGAGUAAGGUAGGGGUAGAGGGAAUUCCUGGUGUAGCGGUGAAAUGCGCAGAUAUCAGGAGGAACACCAGUGGCGAAGGCGGUGCUCUGGGCCGGAACUGACGCUGAGGAGCGAAAGCGUGGGGAGCAAACAGG